rnacentral:lncRNA from 1 species
AUUUGUCUUAAUAAGAAAUGAUGCGUGAGAAGAAGUGGACCUGGGGUCAACUGACUCAAAGGCUUCCUCCCCAACCCUGUGUAUGUCUCAACCAUGGUACUCUGCAAACAUUGACAUUGACAGGGCUGGGGUCCAGCUUUGAAUCUAGAACUCAGGAGAUAAGAUCAAUCAGAGAGAAAGCACUGUAUUUUAUGAAAAACCAGGAACAAUGAACACAUUAUUCAUGUAGGUAUAAGCUGCGUAUCUGGCAUUAAACAUCAUUAUCUGUCUGGGAGAACUUCAAUGAAAACAUGACACCGGGAGCGUAAAACUGAAACGAUAUUUAGGCG